rnacentral:rRNA from 1 species
GAUGAACGCUGGCGGCGUGCCUAAUACAUGCAAGUCGAGCGAACAGACGAGGAGCUUGCUCCUCUUCCGUUAGCGGCGGACGGGUGAGUCACACGUGGAUAACCUACCUAUAAGACUGGGAUAACUUCGGGAAACCGGAUCUCAUACCGGAUCAUAUAUUGAACCGCAUGGUUCAAUGGUGAAAGACGGUUUUGCUGUCCCUAAUAGAUGGAUCCGCGCCGCAUUAGCUAGUUGGUAAGGUAACGGCUUACCAAGGCAACGAUGCGUAGCCGACCUGAGAGGGUGAUCGGCCACACUGGAACUGAGACACGGUCCAGACUCCUACGGGAGGCAGCAGUAGGGAAUCUUCCGCAAUGGGCGAAAGCCUGACGGAGCAACGCCGCGUGAGUGAUGAAGGUCUUCGGAUCGUAAAACUCUGUUAGUAGGGAAGAACAAAUGUGUAAGUAACUAUGCACGUCUUGACGGUACCUAAUCAGAAAGCCACGGCUAACUACGUG